CAGUCGCCACGGGAAUACGAAGGGUGCAAGCGUUAAUCGGAAUUACUGGGCGUAAAGCGUGCGUAGGCGGUGAGUUAAGUCUGCUGUGAAAUCCCCGGGCUCAACCUGGGAAUGGCAAUGGAUACUGGCAAGCUAGAGUGUGUCAGAGGAUGGUGGAAUUCCCGGUGUAGCGGUGAAAUGCGUAGAGAUCGGGAGGAACAUCAGUGGCGAAGGCGGCCAUCUGGGACAACACUGACGCUGAGGCACGAAAGCGUGGGGAGCAAACAGGACUAGAUACCCCUGUAGUCCCUGUCUCUUAUAC
rnacentral:rRNA from 1 species